rnacentral:lncRNA from 1 species
CUGAACUAAGACCAGAGAAGCUGGGAACUGGCAGUUGUGUUGCCUGGGGUAGGUAGGCAGACUGACAAAACAGGACUGCAUGAGACUUUCCUGUUAGAGAAGCAUAGUAGGACUGCUGUUGCAUGGAGGAUAAAAUAAGAUAUCAGAGACUCAACGUUUACCCUUCAAGCCCUCUAUUGACAUGAAGUGCUGGAACAUUCCUUACAGUGAUGGUGGCAGGUUGCUGAUCACUUCAGACCAGAACCUUUGGUCAGCAAGGAGCUUCCUUUCCCCAAAGGAUGAAUUCCUGUCAACGCGGUGGUUCUUUGACAUUCUGCUGUGAAGAUGGAAGAAAUAUGCCUGUAGCAACAUAGCAAUGGCAAGGUCAGUGAAACCGAGGGGAGAAAUAAGAGAGUUUGCAAGGCUUUUGCUCUCAGUGGGGGAAAUUAAAGGUGGCUUAUAUUAUAAAAUAUUAAAUAGUGAUUUAAUCAGCAGUGAGAUAUGUAAGUGAGCUUAAUUAGAAAUACAUAUUAUUCUUUGACUUUAAAGCACAAAAUGAAAAAUUAAAGCAAUCUUGGAGGAUAUGUAAUCAGCGAGGAAUAAUAUGUUGGAA